rnacentral:rRNA from 1 species
GACGAACGCUGGCGGCGUGCUUAACACAUGCAAGUCGAACGGGAAGGCCCCUUCGGGGGUACACGAGUGGCGAACGGGCGAGUAACACGUGAGCAACCUGCCCUUGACUCUGGAAUAACAGUUGGAAACAGCUGCUAAUACUGGAUAUUCAUCGUCUCCUUCCUGGGGGGUGGUGGAAAGCUCCGGCGGUCAGGGAUGGGCUCGCGGCCUAUCAGCUUGUUGGUGAGGUAAUGGCUCACCAAGGCUUCGACGGGUAGCCGGCCUGAGAGGGCGACCGGCCACACUGGGACUGAGAUACGGCCCAGACUCCUACGGGAGGCAGCAGUGGGGAAUAUUGCACAAUGGGCGCAAGCCUGAUGCAGCAACGCCGCGUGCGGGAUGACGGCCUUCGGGUUGUAAACCGCUUUCAGUAGGGACGAAGGGUGACUGACGGUACCUACAGAAGAAGGACCGGCUAACUACGUG